AAGAAUAUAUAGUCGAUUAAAGUGACCCUGGUACAUGCCUGGUACUUAUUUUAUCGAUUCCAUCCUCCACCAGAAAGACUAGAUCCGGGCUCGAUUUGAACUCAGAACAACAUAAAACGGCAAACU